GUGUCCUGUGCCUUUUUCUGCUGCCCUGUGCUCAGUCGUAACAGGGCAGUCUGGCAGGACGCACAUCAGCUUCCCUCUCCGUUUAGGAGGGCUGUCCUAAGGAUAGGGCUGGCUCUUAAAGGCACGAGAGGACAAU